CGAACGCUGGCGGCAUGCCUAACACAUGCAAGUCGAACGAUGCCUCCGGGCAUAGUGGCGCACGGGUGCGUACCGCGUGGGAAUCUGCCCUUGGGUUCGGAAUAACUCGCCGAAAGGCGAGCUAAUACCGGAUGAUGACGUAAGUCCAAAGAUUUAUCGCCCAAGGAUGAGCCCGCGUAGGAUUAGCUAGUUGGUGGGGUAAAGGCCCACCAAGGCGACGAUCCUUAGCUGGUCUGAGAGGAUGAUCAGCCACACUGGGACUGAGACACGGCCCAGACUCCUACGGGAGGCAGCAGUGGGGAAUAUUGGACAAUGGGCGAAAGCCUGAUCCAGCAAUGCCGCGUGAGUGAUGAAGGCCUUAGGGUUGUAAAGCUCUUUUACCCGGGAUGAUAAUGACAGUACCGGGAGAAUAAGCUCCGGCUAACUCCGUG
rnacentral:rRNA from 1 species